rnacentral:rRNA from 2 species
CGGUCCAGACUCCUACGGGAGGCAGCAGUAGGGAAUCUUCCGCAAUGGGCGAAAGCCUGACGGAGCAACGCCGCGUGAGUGAUGAAGGUCUUCGGAUCGUAAAGCUCUGUUGUUAGGGAAGAACAAAUGUGUAAGUAACUGUGCACAUCUUGACGGUACCUAACCAGAAAGCCACGGCUAACUACGUGCCAGCAGCCGCGGUAA